GAAGACAAAGGGAGAGGAGCCUCACACCAUCUAAGGGCUGGGAUGAGAGGGUUUUAAGGUGGUCUCCAUGCUUGGUUUGGCUAUAUAAACCAGUUGGUUGUGCAGCUAAAAAGGGGGAGGAUGAAAAAAGGGAGGAGGCGAAACCAAAGAGAGACGAAAAGAAAACAGGGGGGAGGAAGGAGAAAAAAGAAAAAACAGAGAGAGUAGAGGGAGACAGAGAAGUAAACAGAGACAUAAAAAAGGAGAGGGAGACGGAGAGAAGUAAACAGAGACGGAGGGAGUUAAACACAAAGAGGGGAAGAAGAGAGAAAAAAGGGGAAAGAUACAGAAAAGAAAAAACAGAGGGAAGGAAAAAAAAACUAGAGUGACAGAGAAGACCGAAACAGAGAGGGGAGAAAGGAAAAAGUGAGACGAGAAGAAGAUAAAAAAGAAAGAAAGCAGAGGGAACAAGAAAAAAGGGUCGGGAAUAGAAAAAUAGAAAAAUAGAAAAAACCAGGAGAAUUACAAGAGAGGAGAUUAUUUUCAGCUCAUCUUACCUUGCGGAAAAGGACUUCACAAAACUCUAAAAGGGUUUUGAAAAAGCUCCUAACGGCAGAAAGAGGGAGUCUUUCUUUGGUUAUUAGAGGUAAAAAGGCAGAAGCUUUUCCAUCAGUUUGUAUAUCAUCUUCUGCAUUCAAAACAUGCAGGAUCCGUAGAAGCUUUUUCCAUCGGCUUGUACGUUAUCUUUGGUAUUCAGAGCAACUGGAUUUGCAGAAGAGAUGCCUAGAGCAGGGUCGUCAAUAGUUGAAGGGACUAGGUAGGUUGGGGAAACAGGUAGGUGUAUUGCACUUUGUCUUUUCAAUUUGUUUAAACUCAUUGAUAAAUUUCAUAAUUUAUUAUUUUAUUGCUUCGAUAAAUAUUGGAAUGAAUAUGAGUACUUUGCGUACAUUGAUGUGUAUCAACUAGUUAUGAUAUAAUUGAAAUGGAUACGAGUAUCUUGCGUAUAUUGAUAUGUAUCAAACUUGUGAUGAUAUUAUUGGAAUGAAUAUGAGUACCUUGCAUACAACAAGAUAGAUCAAUUAAUUAGGAUAAUGUUUGAAUGAACACGUGUACCUUAUGUACAAUGGUAUGAAUCAAGUUAGCUAGGAUAAUGUUUGAACAAACAUGAGUACCUUGUGUGCAUUGUCAUAUAUCAAAUUAAUUAUGUUAUUAUUAUAAUGGAUAUGAUUACCUUGCAUACAUUGAUAGGUAUCGAAUUAGUCAUGAUAACUUUGGAAUAUAUGUGAUGAUCUUACAUACCUUAGUAUGGAUUGAGUAUGUACAAUGACUUGGAGAUUGGAGGAGAAAUGAUAUAUAAUUUAUCAUCGUAGUGUUGGUGGCUAAGGAUAUGUUACGAUGAUACUUAACAUUAUGAUGAGGGUGAUUAAGGGCAUAAAUUGAUACUUGGCAUUGUGAUAAGGGUGACCAAGGUUAUGUGAAUGAUGCUUAGUGACUCUAGUGUCGGUAACUAAGGUUAUGUGUGAAUAAUACUUGGCAACUGUGAUUACAAUGUAUAUGAUGUUAAUAAGAAGAAUGAAAGGGGAUCAAUACAAAUAGAAGGUUGAGAAGACAUUGAUUAGCUAUCCGGGUUUAGAUAACUAAUGAUAUUAAUGAGGUUCCAUUAGUACCGGCAUUUCAGAUGACAUUGAUUAGCUAUCUGAGUUUGGAUAGCUAAUGGUAUCAAUAAGAUUUCAUUGGUGCCGACAUUCCUUAAAUUGAUUAGUCGAUCCUAAGUAAUUUGGUGGCUAAUGAUGUUAGUAAAGAUUUCUAACAUUGGCAUGGUUACUCCUAGUUAAGGAAAAAAGAUAAGUUGAUUAACUAUUCCGGGUUGAGAAUAAUUAAUGAUAUCAAUGGGUCAUAAUGGUAUCGAAAACUAUUUCUGGUGUGAUUAGCUACUUUGGGUAAAGAGGCUAAUGAUGUCAAGGGUUCUUGACAUUGACAACUUUGAUGGUAAACCAAAUAUGAAUAAGAAUUGAUUAACUAUUUCGGGGUAGGAAUAGUUAAUGAUAUCAAUCGGUUGUAUUGAUACUAAUGAGAUUCAAUAGUAUCGACAAUUACCUUCCAGAAAAUCGGAGAGAAAGUAUUGAUUAGUUAUUCCAAAAGAAUGAGAUAAGCUAAUGAUGCCAAGAAUGGAAUAUCUUGGUAUCAAGUGAGAAUUGAUUCACAAGGAGAUGGUGUUCGAAACCAUUGAGUUGAGUGGAGAUUUCCAAGAUGAAAUUAUUCUCGGCAAAUGAGAUAGGAUGUUAGAUAGAUAUUGGUAAUAGAUGGAAAAUGUAUAUUAUAAAAGAGAUUUAUGCCUAAAUUUAUGUAUCAAAAGAAAUUUCAUAGAAAUUAUUACAUGUCAUUGUUAUUGUUUGUUACUACCUUUUUAUAUUUAUAUGUAUAUGUUAAUUUUUAUUUUCAGGUUCAUCUAAGUCGUGUCAAGAGUGAUCUUAGUUUAGUUACCUUUUGCUUUCGACCAUGUAAUUAUUUGUAAAUUAAAAGACUUAUUUCCUAAAACUUGAAAUGUAAUAUUAUCCUAUAAAUUUGGAUGUUUGACUUUAAUAUAAUGUUUGUAAUUCUAAAUACCUAUUUAA